rnacentral:rRNA from 1 species
UACAGAGGGGGCAAGCGUUGUUCGGAAUUACUGGGCGUAAAGGGCGCGUAGGCGGCCUUCUAAGUCGAACGUGAAAUCCCCGGGCUCAACCCGGGAACUGCGUCCGAGACUGGAAGGCUCGAAUCCGGGAGAGGGAUGUGGAAUUCCAGGUGUAGCGGUGAAAUGCGUAGAUAUCUGGAGGAACAUCGGUGGCGAAGGCGGCAUCCUGGACCGGUAGUUGACGCUGAGGCGCGAAAGCCAGGGGAGC